rnacentral:misc_RNA from 1 species
GAUGAAGAACGUAGCGAAAUGCGAUAAGUAAUGUGAAUUGCAGAAUCCAGUGAAUCAUCGAAUCUUUGAACGCACCUUGCGCUCCUUGGUAUUCCGAGGAGCAUGCCUGUUUGAGUGUCAUUAAUAUAUCAACCUCUUCAGCUUAUGCUUGUUGAGUGUUGGAUGGUGGGGGUUUGCUGGUGUCUUAUGAAGUCAGCUCCUCUGAAAUGCAUUAGCGGAACAAUUUGUUGACCGUUCAUUGGUGUGAUAAAAAUAUCUACGCUAUUGACGUCAGUCAGUUCAGCUUCUAGCAGUCCAUUGACUUGGACAAAUUUUUCAUUAAUGUGACCUCAAAUCAGGUAGGACUACCCGCUGAACUUAAGCAUAUCAAUAAGCGGAGGA